CAGGUUCCAAUCUUAGGCAUAGCAUAUGGUCUAUCAACUCACUCGUCUGCAUAGUGCAGAAGAAAGGACCAUAUGUUGUGUGAAGCAAAUAAGUGCCUCAGAAGAAAAGCUGUUACCUGCAACGCUGGGCUCUUGUGUGUUACCUGCAAUGCUAGGCUCUUGUGAGAGCAUCCUUUCAGAUUUUCUCUUCUCUGGUAUGACGAUGCUUCCCACUGUAUUCGA